rnacentral:sRNA from 1 species
CAUAAAGGGAAUCCGUAAAUCCAUUCUAGUUCUCUGCUCAGUCUUGUUGGGACGUGUGGUGAUAUUUUAUUUCUGUCAUCUGUCUAGAUACUAGGUGGAAACCUCAAAUGGUUAGGAUUAUAGCACCGUUGGAGUGACCCAGUUAACUUCUCUUCCAAAGGAUUCCGAACACUCCCGGCUUAGUUUCUCCGAUAUGGGCUUCGUGCUGGCGUCUUUGGAUACAGCAAGGGCGGUUGUUUCGAGGAAAAUUGAAGUCGGGAGUUCUUUUUGGUUCGCGUUCGUUAUUCCCCCAAUGGCACCCGGUCAAAAGACAAAAAUGGA